GCACCUGCAGCAUAUGGAAGUUCCCAGGCUAGGGGUUGAAUCAGAGCUGCAGUUGCCAACCUACACCACAGCCCAGGCAAUGCCAAAUCCUUUAACCCACUGAGCAAGGCCAGGGACAGAACCUGUGUUCUCAUGGAUUCAUUUCCACUGAGCCACAACGGGAACUCCCUUCCAUAUUGUCUUUUUAAAAUAAGAUUUGUUAACAACAAAACCAAUGUGUGUAUUAUUUUAUACAUCUUACAGUUAGAAAAUGGAUGCGAAAAGACACCAUGCUUACAGAAUCCACAUGCUACUUUAACAGACAAAACCUUAAAGACAUCUAUUUUAAAUGACAGCUCUUACUGUGAGAGAUUUGCUUCAUAUUCUACCUAUUAUUCCUGGACAUACACAGGCUUCCGAGGGUCUUAUGUUCGUCUGUUUGUUCACUUUAGUUUUAUUUUUCUUUUUAGAUCUCCUGCCCAUGUGUAAUGAAAGAACAGAGAAAAUACCAUGGGGUAGAGAGUAGGAUACAGAUGGCACACAGGUGAUGCCCCAGAAGCUACAUGCCCUGAAAACUGAAGUCAAGUUGUAGUGAGGAUAAUUUUCUAGCAAUAGCAUGACUCCAUGCAUUUGGCCCUCCAUGCAUUUACUUCAUUUGGUCCAUGGGUGAACUUGUCACAUUACAUUUAUAAGAAGCAAUAAACCUUUCUGCUUCCAGUACUUCCUGAACCUCCAGUGAGCUCCUACUAGCAACAUUCUGUGUCCAAGUAAUGUUUUUCCUACCUGCAUCCAAACCUGAUUGUCAAAGACACAAAAUACAAUAUCUUUUGGUCCCUCUUUUGCUGAGCUAGCAGCAUGGCAUCUAGCAGACACUUGUAAGUUUGAGAACUGUUAUGAAAUUCAGUUGAAUUAUACCCACCAGCCCCAUCUCAAAUUCAUAUGUUGAAGUCUAACCCCAGUAGCUCAGAAUGUGAUGGUAUUUGGAGAAAGGAUCUUCACAGAGCUAAGCAAGUUAAAACGAGGAUAUAAGUUGGGCCCUAAUCCACUAUGACUGUCAUCAUUUAGUCAUUUGCUUCUUAUGCUCAUUUAAUAAAUAAUUGAGACUGACCUGAAAAGGCUUUCAGAUCUACCAUUAGAAAUCCCUCACUCUGGCUACCAAGCAGUCUUUCAGCUGUUUUAUUUUAUUUUUUAUUUAAAAAAAAUAUUUUUGGCCACACUCAUGGCAUGAGGACAUUUUGGCCUAGAGAUCAAACCCAUGCCAUAGCACUAACCAGAGCCACGGGAGACCAUAUUGGAUCCUUAACCAGGGAAUUCCUACUGAGCAGUCUUUAAACAAGAAAUUCUAAUUUUUUUUUUUUUUUUUUGUUCAAAGUCUGCCUCAGAUUAAAUCCAUUCUAAUUUCUGCCUUGAGUAAGAAAAUUUCACUUUUGUUUGUCCCGUCAAGGUGUAGAACUUUUUUUCCUACAGACUAACAUUAGCCCAUCAAGUCAUCACCCUAUACAAUAAGAUCAAGAUUUCAAUGACAUUUUCUUCUGGGUCCAAAAGUUUCAUAUGCGAGUUAUACAUCAUUUUAUUGUUCACUUACUACAUCAAAAUGCAUAGCAAAUAUAUGCUUCCCUUUAUAUGACACAUGCAUGUCCAUGGGCCAUAUGUACACACACUACACACAUACAUCAGUCACAUUUUCCCAUUUCACAAAGUGCAGCCAUGUACCCAGAACUGGCCCAUCCUAGGGGUCACAGGUAGAGGUCUCACCUGGAGUAGGAGGGAAGAGGGAAAGGAACUUAACACGUAUUUACCAGCUACUGUACAUACGUAAAGUUAAGACAUAUAAUUAAUAUAACAAUGCUGUGAGGUAUGUACCAUUAUGUUUUACAGAUAAAACAAAAUGAACUAAGAGUGCUAAUAGUCAUUCACAUUUAAAUGUCCUGGCCAACAUAGACACUUUUCUUUUCCCCCAAGUGUUCAGUGCAGUCCCACCAUAUGUAUGCACAUAUAUCCAGGCUUUUUCUUUAAUCAGAAGAAACUUCUAAAAGGCCCAGAAAAAGAAGUCCCGUUCAGUCCUUCUGAUCACAGCAGAGUUUCCUCCUUGCAAGUUUCCAUAGCAGGGCCAGGAGCACCUGGAGGCAGGCGAUCUUUUCUCCCUACCUGUCAAGACUCAGCUUACAUGCCAUCCAUCUCACAGGCCCAGGGAGUAUUUAAUGGGGCCGAUUUGGAUCAGUGGAGAUUGGUGUUUAGGCCGUUCUCCAAGACCUCGAGAAUGGCUGGGAAACAUGCCGAUUUUUGGCAAGGGGUCCAGUGCUUAUUGAGGUUUUAUGUUUAAAUAAACCUAACAUUUUUUGUUAUUGCUAUUGUUGCCUGUUGUUGAAAGCUCUUUCAAUUAUUCAAAUCAAAUCAAUCAGAAUUUAUCAAGCACCUAUUCUGUGCCAGACACAGCAGGAGUGUAAAAAGAUCACGAAGACAGUGCUCCAGAAACUUGAGGAACUAGGAGGAUGCAAUACACCCACAAACAAUGCUAAGAGGCAAAGACAGGAACGAUGAAAGGAGUCCAGAUAAAGAGCGACAGGAAUUCAGACAAAGGAGACAUUAUUUCUGGUUGGAAAAAAGACACCAUGGAUAGGGAGCUAGCACGAGAUCCAAACCUUUAGCAAUUCAGUCAUCCAUUCAAAAAGUGUUUAGUGAUCAGCUACCACGUGCCAGGCAUGUGCUAAGAACUAGAGAUAUAAGAGGGACAUAAUCCCUGCCCUCAAAGUAUCUGCAGUCUAGCGAUUAAUGAGACAAUGAGCAAGUAAACUAAUUAAUUAAUUAUAGCUUGUUAUGGGCACUAAGAAUUUAAUGAGCAGAAUGCACUGAUAGUACUAACCAGGGUAGGUGGCGGGGUAGGGUACCUACUUUGGCAAAGUGGGUAGGGAAGGUCUUUCUACAGAGAUGAUUUUUA
rnacentral:lncRNA from 1 species